rnacentral:lncRNA from 1 species
AGGGCGGGCGCCGCUGGCGAGGGAGGGCCGCCAGCAUCCUCCCUGGCCGCGCCGCACCGCGCCGCGAGGAGUCCGGGGGCUGCGCCCACGCCCGCUGCCCGCCCGCUCGUCGGCUAGUCCCGCCGUCCGGCGCGGACACGCGUGCCCCCGGCUUGAACCGGAACCUCUUGCCGAGGCGGCCGCCGUCGCCGCAGCCGCCGGGGAAGCGGACACCAACUGGGGAAGCGCGGGGGGGAGGCGGCCUGCGCGGCGCCGCCCGCCAUGGCCGCGGCGGGGUGAGGUAGGCGCGGCGGCCGCAGUCGCGCGGACCCGAG